GGAGUAAAGCUGCAGCUUCAGAUGAGACCCCAAGAAAUUGAAGAUGCGGGAACAUGGGGCAUCUGCCAAGGAAAGCCACAGACAGGGGGCAGAGCCAGGCCAGGAGUGGCCAUGUGGGCUGCCAGGGCAAGGUCACAGUGGCAGCGCUGCCCAAGCCUGUGGGGCCCACACCAUACCUCCAUGUGCAUCCCAGAUGCAGACAUGGAGCUACAGUAUUUAACGUUUUCCCUGAUUAUUUUGGUCUUGCUUUCUGAUACCCUGUUUGUCCCUUCUGGAAUGGGAAUGCUUAACCUGUACCACUGUGUGUUGGAAUUUUGUAAGUUAUUUAUUUUUUUCCAGGGGCGUACGGCUAUGAGCCAUGCUGAAACUGCUAACGUGGGCUCUCAGAGGUGGAUUGGACGCAUUUUGCACUGUGAGAUGGACUUGAGUCCUUGGGGGACAGGACAGGAUAUUUGGAUCUUAAGUGUUCGCCGAAAGUCCACAUAUGGAAGAGCUGGUCCCCAGCUGCUGGUGCUGCUAGAGCUGGUGGACCUUAGGAGGUGAGGUCAUCGGAGACGUGCCCUCAGGGGGCUCUGGGGACCCCGGCCUUCCUGCCUCUCCUUGCCUACCAGCUGUGCCGCCAGCUCCGCCCCACCACACAUUCCCCACUCUGAUGUUCUGCCUGGGGGCCAGGCCCAAAGGCACCAGGGCCAGGCCACUGUGGACGAAGCCUCUGAAACCGUGAGAGUAGACCUGUCCUCAUUCAAGUUGGUCAUCCCGGUUAUUGUGUCACAAGUUCUCACACGCCCUUUCAAUGAGCUCACUAAGUAAAGCUUAGCUAUUUGUUCAGACCAACAUUUCUAAACCCUGGCUGUAGAUUAAAGCUACUUAAGGACAGUAAGGAUGUGUGCCUCCCCAGGCGUUUGGUUCAAUUGCUGUGGAGUGGGACCCAAACACAGGACUUUUAGAAGCUCCCAGGUGCAGCAGGUUUGAGACUGUGAGUCUGGGUGUGUGUCUGCCUCCCGGUGGGAGAGAACUUGCUGAGGAUGACCACAGCUGAUCCUCACUCCUGGGGCACCGCAUGGCGCCUUGUGCACUGACGUGCCCAGCACAUGGUGAAGAGUCAGGUGGGCCAGGACCUCUCGUGGAACAGGUCAUGUCUCAUUGUGAUUCCUACUCCAAAAUACAUGGGUGUCGUGAGUGCCAGUCUCACAGAAAAAGCAGAGUUCAUCCGCACGACGCUCCAGCUUGACCAUGAACACAGCCGAGUCCCGGUUCCAGUCCCUCUCCUGUUUGGUGGCCAGGGCUCUUGUGUCCACUACUCUGACCACCCUCUCGAGAGACCACACAUUCUUUCAUUUCAUGUCUCCGCUGAAACUUACUCUCUGAACCUUUUUCUUCUUGAAGUUCUUCCUCUGGCCAUUGAGAUGUGGGUCGGGAACGAGUCUCAGGAGAAUCUGAGUCCUGUUUCCUCCUGAGGAGGCAUUCCUGGGUGAGAGGGCGCCCUGCCACGCCCUCUGGUGGGUAACCAGGAAAAGGGGGCGCCUGACCCCAGCUGAGCCCCCCAGGGUGAGCUGAAAGGACGUGGGCUAAGAAGUCUCCCUCUUUUCUUAUUUAUUGCUUACACGCCCUUCUCUCUUGUUCUGUUUCUCUAAAGAAUCGAUGAUUUUAAUUCCAGUUUUCUUUCAGAAAAAAAUAAAGCAGGUUCUCUGAUGCUUAAAAUUACCAAUAAAAUAAUGAAAGCAAUUUGUAAUAUUUAUUUGAACAGUAAUUUUAAUAUAGACCGAUGCUACUCCUCUUCAGCCAAGGAAAUGCAAUGACUGGCCCUCUGAAAGUCGACGAUAACUAGAAAUCCAACUUCGCAGCUUUCCGUGAUCAGGUCACUGGUUUUUAUAUAACCCACUUUGAAAUGUUCUGUCUAUGCCUACUUUAUAGAA
rnacentral:lncRNA from 1 species